ACUCCUACGGGAGGUAGCAGUGGGGAAUAUUGCACAAUGGGGGAAAGCCCAUCGAUGCAGCCAUGCCCGCGUGUGUGAAGAAGGCCUUCGGGUUGGUAAAGACACUUUCAGUAGGGAGGAAGGUAGUGUAGUUAACACCUGCAUUAUUUGACGUUACCUACAGAAGAAGCACCGGCUAACUCCGUGCCAGCAGCCGCGGUAAUACGGAGGAUCCAAGCGUUAUCCGGAAUCAUUGGGUUUAAAGGGUCCGUAGGUGGAUGAUUAAGUCAGAGGUGAAAUCCUGCAGCUCAACUGUAGAAUUGCCUUUGAUACUGGUUGUCUUGAAUUAUUGUGAAGUAGUUAGAAUAUGUGGUGUAGCGGUGAAAUGCAUAGAUAUCACAUAGAAUACCGAUUGCGAAGGCAGAUUACUAACAAUACAUUGACACUGAUGGACGAAAGCGUGGGGAGCGAACAGGAUUAGAUACCCUGGUAGGAUAGCGU
rnacentral:rRNA from 1 species